rfam:Ciona savignyi cont_32816, whole genome shotgun sequence.
GGUAGCGUGGCCGAGCGGUCUAAGGCGCUGCUUUUAGGCACCAGUCAUUUCGAUGGCGUGGGUUCGAAUCCCACCGCUGCCA